CCACCAGAAGGGUCGUCACUAGAAAAUGAUGUUUUGUUGAAAGUAGUUUCGUAUUCAGCAGCAGCAGAAGACUCAUAGGAUGUGUUGUCGUAACCAGUCUCGGUGUCUAUGGGCUUAGUCUCCUCAUGCUUGUGGUGGUUGAAAAGGUGGUGGUGGUGGUGCUUCUCUUCGGCCAUGGUGGUUGUUGGGGAUAGUUAAUGAAUGGAGAAGAAGGUAGAAGGGUGAGCAGGGAAGUGAGUUGAAGUAAGAUGGGAUGUGAUAGUUGGGAAGGAGUAGUUAGGUAUUUAUAAAGUGGUGGUGACCAUGUAACCU
rnacentral:lncRNA from 1 species